rnacentral:rRNA from 1 species
CCUACGGGAGGCACCAGUGGGGAAUCUUAGACAAUGGGGGGAACCCUGAUCUAGCCAUGCCGCGUGAGUGACGAAGGCCCUAGGGUCGUAAAGCUCUUUCAGCUGUGAAGAUAAUGACGGUAGCAGCAGAAGAAACCCCGGCUAACUCCGUGCCAGCAGCCGCGGUAAUACGGGGGGGGUUAGCGUUGUUCGGAAUUACUGGGCGUAAAGCGCGCGUAGGCGGACUAUUAAGUCAGGGAUGAAAUCCCGGGGCUCAACCCCGGAACUGCCUUUGAUACUGGUAGUCUUGAGUUCGAGAGAGGUGAGUGGAAUUCCGAGUGUAGAGGUGAAAUUCGUAGAUAUUCGGAGGAACACCAGUGGCGAAGGCGGCUCACUGGCUCGAUACUGACGCUGAGGUGCGAAAGCGUGGGGAGCAAACAGGAUUAGAUACCCCGGUAGUC